rnacentral:lncRNA from 1 species
ACUUUAGCUUAAUUAAUUUCAUAACAUUUCAGUCAUUUCUCAAAAGUGAAUGAAAAAAAAUGAUUGAAUUGUUUGAUUGAAAAUAUGAUCUUGCAUUGCAGAAGAACACGGGGAUAGAUCACAGCCAGGAAGACCAGGAAAUUAAAAAACAGGCCACACAGCUUGAUCAGUCAUCUUUUUAUAGUUUCUCUGAUCAUCCAAAGCAGUCUUAGACCAACUACUUGGAAGGUUCGUUGCAACCAAGAAGGUGUAUUUCAACUAUUGUGAAAACAGUGCUCAUCAAACUACUGAAACAUCAAGAUUACCUCUGCAGCGUCUUCUUGUCAUGCUGGAAUAAGCCAGCAAAAAUGUUCUUAUAUUGAGAAUAUUUGAGCUUUAGUGAUUAUAGACAAUGAAGGUAGAUAGAAAUUUUGUGAAGGACCCUUUUCUGAUUUGUUGAAGCUGGGCCAGUAAAGAAAAAGUGAUGUGGAACUUAGGGAUACAGAAGAAAGCCAAAACAACCUUUGCAUCCUGGCAAUUUACUUGCAGCUCAGUCAGAAUGCAGAAGUUCAAGAAGUUUGAAACAAUCCAUCCUUUGUGAAGAUCCAACAGGUAUAGCUAACCAAGACUUACCCAUUGUAUUCUAUUGGUUUACACGUCAAGGUUUACGUAAUAGGUGGCUGCCAGGGUGGCCUCUGUGAG